rnacentral:rRNA from 1 species
GACGGGGCCCGCACAAGCGUGGAGCAUGUGGUUUAAUUCGAAGCAACGCGAAGAACCUUACCAGGCCUUGACAUGCAGAGAACUUUCCAGAGAUGGAUUGGUGCCUUCGGGAACUCUGACACAGGUGCUGCAUGGCUGUCGUCAGCUCGUGUCGUGAGAUGUUGGGUUAAGUCCCGUAACGAGCGCAACCCUUGUCCUUAGUUACCAGCACGUUAUGGUGGGCACUCUAAGGAGACUGCCGGUGACAAACCGGAGGAAGGUGGGGAUGACGUCAAGUCAUCACGGCCCUUACGGCCUGGGCUACACACGUGCUACAAUGGUCGGUACAAAGGGUUGCCAAGCCGCGAGGUGGAGCUAAUCCCAUAAAACCGAUCGUAGUCCGGAUCGCAGUCUGCAACUCGACUGCGUGAAGUCGGAAUCGCUAGUAAUCGUGAAUCAGAAUGUCACGGUGAAUACGUUCCCGGGCCUU